GAAAGGCAGUAUGUGGAAGCUGUUGAGUUGGAGGCUAAAGAAGUUCUUAAAAAAUUAUUUCCAAAGGUGUCUGUCCCUUCUCAUUUGAUUACCACAGGGGAGAUUAAACUAUAUGACCUGAAGGGAGAUUUACAAACUCUAAAGCAUUUAAAUCAGCUUUUCAUCUGAUGUUAUGUUGGAUCUCAAUGUUUCAAGCUGUUCGGAAGGAAUUUUACAGAAGCUACAGAAAAGUGUGGAGGAAGAGGAAAAUAAAUGGAAAGUUAAGGUCGAUGAAUUACAAAAGACAGUUAAGCAGCUGAGAGGAGAACGAGAGCGUUUGGAGAUGGAGCUAGAGAAGGCAGAAAUUGAACGAUCUACCUAUGUUACAGAAGUGAGAGAGCUGAAAGACCUGUUGACUGAAUUGCAGAAAAAACUUGAUGAUUCAUAUUCUGAAGCAGUAAGACAGAAUGAAGAGCUAAAUUUGGUAAGAAACUUGUUCUCCACUGGGUACCAAGUAGGCUCUGAAAACACUUGUGUUGACAUGUGGAGAAACAGUCCAAACUUUUUUUUCCUUGCUAACCAUUUAUAGCUUGGCAUGUUAUAAAUUUUAAGAUAAUCUUUAUAUUCUGGUGAUUCCUAAGAUCUUUUUCAUGACUCAUAAAAUGAUUCUUUUCUUAACUCCUAACAAUGGCAUGUUUGACUUCUGACUCUGUAUUUUUAUAAAGCCUAAUUUCUCGGACAACAUCAUUGUUAGCAAAUAAAGAAACAAAACAAAUGGUUGGCCAAGUUGUGAAGAUUCUCUUCUCAAGCUGUCGUAGUUAACUGGGCCUCUCAUUUUCUAACCUGGAAGAUUAUUGAAGAUUGAAGAUAACUGCUCUUCAUUCUAGGGCAGUAGUGCAGUCCAGCUUCUUAUUUUGUCUAAUCUUCAUAAAUUAUAAAAUACAAGGAGC
rnacentral:lncRNA from 1 species